rnacentral:rRNA from 1 species
GAUGAACGCUAGCGGCAGGCCUAACACAUGCAAGUCGAGGGGUAGAGGAAGCUUGCUUCCUUGAGACCGGCGCACGGGUGCGUAACGCGUAUGCAAUCUACCUUAUACAGAGGGAUAGCCCAGAGAAAUUUGGAUUAAUACCUCAUAGUAUUAUGAAAUCGCAUGGUUUUAUAAUUAAAGUUCCAACGGUAUAAGAUGAGCAUGCGUCCCAUUAGUUAGUUGGUAAGGUAACGGCUUACCAAGACAAUGAUGGGUAGGGGUCCUGAGAGGGAGAUCCCCCACACUGGUACUGAGACACGGACCAGACUCCUACGGGAGGCAGCAGUGAGGAAUAUUGGUCAAUGGACGCAAGUCUGAACCAGCCAUGCCGCGUGCAGGAUGACGGUCCUAUGGAUUGUAAACUGCUUUUAUUCAGGAAGAAACACUCCCUCGUGAGGGAACUUGACGGUACUGUAGGAAUAAGGAUCGGCUAACUCCGUGCCAGCCGCCGCUGUAAAAC